UACAGAGGGUGCAAGCGUUGUUCGGAAUUAUUGGGCGUAAAGGGCGCGUAGGCGGUGCUGUAAGUCUGUAGUGAAAUCUCUGGGCUCAACUCAGAGUCUGCUAUAGAAACUGCAGUGCUGGAGUGUGGGAGAGGUGAGUGGAAUUCCCGGUGUAGCGGUGAAAUGCGUAGAUAUCGGGGAGGAACACCUGUGGCGAAAAGCGGCUCACUGGACCACAACUGACGCUGAGGCGCGAAAGCUAGGGGAGCAAACAGG
rnacentral:rRNA from 1 species